rnacentral:ncRNA from 24 species
GAUUAUUGAAGUAGAGAAUGUGCUGCUACGCACCUUAUGGGUCAAAAGAAAUGUGGGAAGGGGUACACCCACCAAUAAUC